rnacentral:rRNA from 1 species
UACGUAGGUGGCGAGCGUUAUCCGGAAUUACUGGGCGUAAAGCGUCCGCAGGCGGCUUGUUAAGUCUGCUGUGAAAGCUCCUGGCUUAACUGGGAGAGGUCAGUGGAAACUGGCAGGCUUGAGGCGAUGAGAGGGGUGUGGAAUUCCCGGUGUAGUGGUGGAAUGCGUAGAGAUCGGGAGGAACACCAGUGGCGAAAGCGGCACCCUGGCAUCGGCCUGACGCUGAGGGACGAAAGCGUGGGGAGCGAACGGG